GCAAGUCGAACGAAAAGACGGAAAGAGCUUGCUCUUUUCAGAAUUGAGUGGCAAACGGGUGAGUAACACGUAAACAACCUGCCUUCAGGAUGGGGACAACAGACGGAAACGACUGCUAAUACCGAAUAAGUUCCAAGAGCCGCAUGGCCCAUGGAAGAAAAGGUGGCCUCUACCUGUAAGCUAUCGCCUGAAGAGGGGUUUGCGUCUGAUUAGCUGGUUGGAGGGGUAACGGCCCACCAAGGCGACGAUCAGUAGCCGGUCUGAGAGGAUGAACGGCCACACUGGAACUGAGACACGGUCCAGACUCCUACGGGAGGCAGCAGUGGGGAAUCUUCCGCAAUGGGCGAAAGCCUGACGGAGCAACGCCGCGUGAGUGAUGACGGCCUUCGGGUUGUAAAACUCUGUGAUCCGGGACGAAAAGGCAGAGUGCGAAGAACAAACUGCAUUGACGGUACCGGAAAAGCAAGCCACGGCUAACUACGUGCCAGCAGCCGCGGUAAUACGUAGGUGGCAAGCGUUGUCCGGAAUUAUUGGGCGUAAAGCGCGCGCAGGCGGCUUCCCAAGUCCCUCUUAAAAGUGCGGGGCUUAACCCCGUGAUGGGAAGGAAACUGGGAAGCUGGAGUAUCGGAGAGGAAAGUGGAAUUCCUAGUGUAGCGGUGAAAUGCGUAGAGAUUAGGAAGAACACCGGUGGCGAAGGCGACUUUCUGGACG
rnacentral:rRNA from 1 species